GAUGAACGCUAGCGGCAGGCCUAACACAUGCAAGUCGAGGGGUAGAGUUCUUCGGGACUUGAGACCGGCGCACGGGUGCGUAACGCGUAUGCAAUCUACCUUAUACAGGGGAAUAGCCCAGAGAAAUUUGGAUUAAUGCCCCAUAGUGUUAUCGAAUCGCAUGGUUUGAUAACUAAAGUUCCAACGGUAUAAGAUGAGCAUGCGUCCCAUUAGUUAGUUGGUAAGGUAACGGCUUACCAAGACAAUGAUGGGUGGGGGUUCUGAGAGGGAGAUCCCCCACACUGGUACUGAGACACGGACCAGACUCCUACGGGAGGCAGCAGUGAGGAAUAUUGGACAAUGGGCGCAAGCCUGAUCCAGCCAUGCCGCGUGCAGGAUGACGGUCCUAUGGA
rnacentral:rRNA from 1 species